UGGGGAAUAUUGGACAAUGGGCGCAAGCCUGAUCCAGCCAUGCCGCGUGAGUGAUGAAGGCCCUAGGGUUGUAAAGCUCUUUCACCGGUGAAGAUAAUGACGGUAAUCGGAGAAGAAGCCCCGGCCAACUUCGUGCCAGCAGCCGCGGUAAUACGAAGGGGGCUAGCGUUGUUCGGAUUUACUGGGCGUAAAGCGCACGUAGGCGGACUUUUAAGUCAGGGGUGAAAUCCCGGGGCUCAACCCCGGAACUGCCUUUGAUACUGGAAGUCUUGAGUAUGGUAGAGGUGAGUGGAAUUCCGAGUGUAGAGGUGAAAUUCGUAGAUAUUGGGAGGAACACCAGUGGCGAAGGCGGCUCACUGGACCAUUACUGACGCUGAGGUGCGAAAGCGUGGGGAGCAAACAGG
rnacentral:rRNA from 1 species